AGGCAGGCUGCGGUGAGGCUGAUAGGCUGGCGUGAUGGGCGGGCGUUCCUUAUCGUAUUAAAUGGCGGUUGCUCUGUCAUUCUUUCCUCCUUUCGCCUCAUAGUUAUUUUUCACAAAUCUGAUUUUUGGGAGCCAAACUUUGAUCCACUCAUGUGAAAGUUUUGACGCCGGAUGAGCUGUGUACAUCAGACCACCUGUCAAGAGGAUGCCUACCCUGUACCAGACCACAGCCUGCAGCGUACACGAUUCCCCAGGAGUACUCGAAAGGCUUCUGAGGGAUACAUGGAUAUGAUUAUGUGUAAUGCGAAGUAUAGAGUGAUGUUAAUACUACGUACCACUUCUUUUAACAAACGUUCGUGGGUGUGCUGGCAGUCACAAGGCGGCCAGUACGUACGCUUGCCAAUAGAGGGCAGACCCAUCGUAGUAACAUUUGCCACGUGUAGAUGGCGGGAACACCUCUCACAUGCUUAAUAGUUGAGCCGUGAGUGUCCUGGCUGUGCAGAGUUUCCUGGCUGUGUGGAAUAAUCGCAUCACGCCACGUCAGACACAACGAGUGUGUCUGACGAAGUAGCGCAGCCUCUCCUGAGCGACUUGUUGGGUAGUUCGAGGGAAGAUUGGACUUACACAGAACUCGGUCCGGUUAUUGAUAGGCGAGUCAUCUUUGGUGUCUUCUACUAUUCAUAGUUCCUGGAACCUCCACAGAGCCGGACACGGUGCUGUAGUAGUGACGGGUGACAGCUGACGGUGACGUGUUCCAGUCCAGGAUGGCCUCCUCAAGGCUCUGCUCAUCUGCACCCUGGCAUCGUGCGGGGCGGUGUACCAUCACGUGCAUGGAUGUGGUGUCGGUGGUUCAAGGCUGCGUGUCCACCGCCCCCUAUUCGUUCACAGGUGAGUGUGAGGCUUUCCUGUACGCUUCCACUUACCUCAUCUCACUCCAUCCUCUUUCCUUCUCCUUCACCUCCUCCCCAUCCACAUCCUAUACCUCCUCCUCCUCCUCCUCCUCCUCCUCCUCCUCCUCCUCCUCCUC